GCAGCAGAAGUAGCCUGCAGUACUGCAUUCUAAUCACUGUGCCAAUAAAGCAGACUUUUAUUCUUUGAUUAAAGUUAAAGAUCUGGGAAGAAGAUCCUAGCACAUCACAAGAGACAUGGGAGGAAAAUUCUACAAAAUACAGAAAAAUGCCUUGUACCUUUAAGAUUCUUAGAAGUGGAGUAACUGCAAUGUAAAACUCUCUAACUUAGAUUUGCAUCUUUCCUGC